rnacentral:rRNA from 1 species
AGAGUUUGAUCCUGGCUCAGAUUGAACGCUGGCGGCAUGCUUUACACAUGCAAGUCGAACGGCAGCACGGGAGCUUGCUCCUGGUGGCGAGUGGCGAACGGGUGAGUAAUACAUCGGAACGUACCCUGAAGUGGGGGAUAACGUAGCGAAAGUUACGCUAAUACCGCAUAUUCUGUGAGCAGGAAAGAGGGGGAUCGCAAGACCUCUUGCUUUAGGGAGCGGCCGAUGUCGGAUUAGCUAGUUGGUGAGGUAAAGGCUCACCAAGGCGCGAUCCGUAGCGGGUCUGAGAGGAUGAUCCGCCACACUGGGACUGAGACACGGCCCAGACUCCUACGGGAGGCAGCAGUGGGGAAUUUUGGACAAUGGGCGCAAGCCUGAUCCAGCCAUGCCGCGUGAGUGAAGAAGGCCUUCGGGUUGUAAAGCUCUUUCGGUGGGGAAGAAAUUGCUUCGGUUAAUACCUGGAGUAGAUGACGGUACCCGCAUAAGAAGCACCGGCUAACUACGUG